GCUCUCCCUCAACUGACGUUGUGGGGUGAAUUGAACGUACGGAUAACACUUGCGGGGUUUUUGGUUGCUUACGGGGUGCACCCCAUAUGCAACCCAUUGCAAACGUGUCCAUGGUUCCUAAAACCCCGGAAAAAAUGCCUUCCAGUUUUGCACCCCACAAACAGCGGACACUACUGGCCGUCCGUUUUCUAUGGACGAUAUCAUAAAUAUUACAAAUUACAUUGAUGAAAAUCUAUAAUUAGAUAUGAGACGUGCGCAUGCGCACUAGCAGUAAAGGUGAGCGCGCGCACCCAAGUACAAUUCACUUCCGUUGGUAGUAACGCGUAAUGGCGGACUUACAGGGAAAUUGAGAGCUUUUGAAGAAGAAAAGGCUGAAUUCCACCUAAGAGACGUUCUUGUGUGAUAUAGACUGGGCACUGGCCUAUUGGUCACCAGCAUAUACCAAGUAUAAUACCUGAAGGUUCUAAGACUGGGAUGAAGUUUAAUACCAAUUGAGCUGUAAGGAAAGAGGUUGGAAUCAAAGUCCUUGUCUGUUGGCAACUACAGAUAUAGCAGAACCAGAUUAAACACAGGAAAUGGCUGCUCAAGAUAGCAUUUAACCAAAUGAGCUGAUUUAAUUGCUCAUGGAGUCAGAACACAUGGCUCAAAUGGAACAAGAGGAACAUACCCUGUAGACGAAAACAUCGCCAGAAUUCAUCAAAAACAAGACAAAAAUGGAGUCAGAAUGAGGAUGAGGAAAUAAGAAAAAUAUUUCAUAAAUGUUUCCUUACAAGAAAAUGUCCAACAGCUCAUCAUUGUCUUAAAGCUAUAAAUUUAAGCAGGAAGAACAACUGUUGCAUUUGUAAACGUAAGAAGGAUGUCCUUAAAAAAGAAGUCAUAUUGAAGGAUUGACAGCUUAAGUGAUUAACAUUUAUGUAGUAGACAGCGACUGGGAAACCCAUGAGACAUGAACCAUAGUCACAUAAAAUAAAAAAAAUGUCACAUAAGUUUUAAGUGCUGAUGAGCCCUGUGUCACAUGGCUAAACUGUAUUGAAUGCAAAAGAAUGAAACUAUUUAAUAGUGCAAAUUUUAUGUAAAGGAAUG
rnacentral:lncRNA from 1 species